CGCGACCCCAGGUCAGGCGGGGUUACCCGCUGCAUUUAA
rnacentral:rRNA from 1 species